rnacentral:lncRNA from 1 species
AGAAUUGUAUGAGAUCACCUAACAUCUGAAGGGAGACCAGGGUAAGAUUAACCCAGAAGAAACCUAAGAAGGAAGACAGGAGAAGAGGGAUAGAGUUUUAUCUUGAAGCCAAUGGAGAAGAGCAUUUCAAAAUAGAAGGGUCUCACCUACCAAAUCAUAAUAAAUAUCUAUAUAUUUGGAGAUAGAGAUGAAAACCAUGUGGCUGUAUCCAGUUGGAGUGAAAAAUAUGAACUGUGAAGAAAGAAGGAGUUCUGCUUCU